UUGGCCGUCAGCCCCAGAACCUCAGGCAGCAGCUGACAGUGUUUGUCCCAGCACAGCGCCACCCGCUGGUGGGGGGCCGCCGUGAGGCCGGGGGAGAAGACGGAUUCGUGAAGUGCCUGCUGCAAGGCGAUGGAGUCUGCUGGAAGAAGCAAAGAGAAGAGGGUCCACAUCGACAACACACAAGUUCCACUAUAAAAGUGCUUUCCUGAGUUUCUCCUGUGAUCCCCUGUUGUUCCCCUCUGGAUUCUGGACUGCCUCCCUUCAUCCUCGACCUCUGCUUGGACACGGACCUCUGACACCUCGCCAUUUUCCUUGACUAUCUCCGCCUGCUCACGGACUGCCUUCCUGCCUUGUUCCUUCUUCUCGUUUAACAUUUGGUAAAACACUACAGCUAAUCACACACACAGCCUCACACUAGGGCUGCAACAACUAAUCGAUUAAAAUUGAUUAUAAAAAUAGUUGGCGAUUAAUUUAGUCAUCGAUUCGUUGGAUCUAUGCUAUGCGCCUAGGCUAUUUUUAUUUUUUUAUUUUUUUUAACCUUUAUUUACAAACUGCAACAUUUACAAACAGCUGAGAAACAAUCAAAAUAAUAGGGGUGUAACGGUACGUGUAUUUGUAUCGAACCGUUUCGGUACGGGGGUUUCGGUUCGGUGCGGAUGUGUACCGAACGAGUUUCCACAUGGACAUAUUAAGUAGGGUAUUGCACAUUG